AGCAGUCGCCGCGGGAAUACGUAGGUGGCAAGCGUUGUCCGGAAUUAUUGGGCGUAAAGUGCGCGCAGGCGGAUCAGUUAGUCUGUCUUAAAAGUUCGGGGCUUAACCCCGUGAUGGGAUGGAAACUGCUGAUCUAGAGUAUCGGAGAGGAAAGUGGAAUUCCUAGUGUAGCGGUGAAAUGCGUAGAUAUUAGGAAGAACACCAGUGGCGAAGGCGACUUUCUGGACGAAAACUGACGCUGAGGCGCGAAAGCCAGGGGAGCGAACGGGAUUAGAUACCCCCGUAGUCCCUGUCUCUUAUACC
rnacentral:rRNA from 1 species